UACGGGGGGGGGCAAGCGUUGUUCGGAAUUACUGGGCGUAAAGGGCUCGUAGGCGGCCAACUAAGUCAGACGUGAAAUCCCCAGGCUUAACCUGGGAACUGCGUCUGAUACUGGAUGGCUUGAGUUCGGGAGAGGGAUGCGGAAUUCCAGGUGUAGCGGUGAAAUGCGUAGAGAUCAGGAAGAACACCGGUGGCGAAAGCGCUCUGCUAGGCCGCAACUGACACUCAUGGACGAAAGCUAGGGGAGCGAAUGGG
rnacentral:rRNA from 1 species